rnacentral:rRNA from 1 species
UACGAAGGGGGCGAGCGUUGUUCGGAUUUACUGGGCGUAAAGGGCGCGCAGGCGGUCUUGUAAGUCAGGCGUGAAAGCCCCGGGCUUAACCUGGGAAUUGCGCUUGAUACUCUGAGACUGGAGUACGGGAGAGGAGAGUGGAAUUCCCAGUGUAGAGGUGAAAUUCGUAGAUAUUGGGAAGAACACCAGUGGCGAAGGCGGCUCUCUGGACCGUAACUGACGCUGAGGCGCGAAAGCGUGGGGAGCAAACAGG